CCUACGGGAGGCAGCAGUGAGGAAUAUUGGUCAAUGGACGAGAGUCUGAACCAGCCAAGUAGCGUGAAGGAUGACUGCCCUAUGGGUUGUAAACUUCUUUUAUAAAGGAAUAAAACGAGGCACGUGUGCCUUGUUGCAUGUACUUUAUGAAUAAGGAUCGGCUAACUCCGUGCCAGCAGCCGCGGUAAUACGGAGGAUCCGAGCGUUAUCCGGAUUUAUUGGGUUUAAAGGGAGCGGAGAUGGGUUGUUAAGUCAGUUGUGAAAGUUUGCGGCUCAACCGUAAAAUUGCAAUUGAUACUGGCAGUCUUGAGUACAGUUGAGGUAGGCGGAAUUCGUGGUGUAGCGGUGAAAUGCAUAGAUAUCACGAAGAACCCCGAUUGCGAAGGCAGCUUACUAAACUGUGACUGACAUUGAUGCUCGAAAGUGUGGGUAUCAAACAGGAUUAGAUACCCUGGUAGUC
rnacentral:rRNA from 1 species